AGUAGGGAAUCUUCCGCAAUGGACGAAAGUCUGACGGAGCAACGCCGCGUGAACGAUGAAGGCCUUCGGGUCGUAAAGUUCUGUUGUUAGGGAAGAACAAGUACCGGAGUAACUGCCGGUACCUUGACGGUACCUAACCAGAAAGCCACGGCUAACUACGUGCCAGCAGCCGCGGUAAUACGUAGGUGGCAAGCGUUGUCCGGAAUUAUUGGGCGUAAAGCGCGCGCAGGCGGUUCCUUAAGUCUGAUGUGAAAGCCCCCGGCUCAACCGGGGAGGGUCAUUGGAAACUGGGGAACUUGAGUACUGAAGAGGAAAGCGGAAUUCCACGUGUAGCGGUGAAAUGCGUAGAGAUGUGGAGGAACACCAGUGGCGAAGGCGGCUUUCUGGUCAGUAACUGACGCUGAGGCGCGAAAGCGUGGGGAGCAAA
rnacentral:rRNA from 1 species